rnacentral:ncRNA from 1 species
AGAAAUGCUAUGAAGGAGACUGAUGAUUCUUAUUGAUUCUUUUAGAGAGACGUGGUCACCGGCUGAAAGCCAUGUUAAGAUGUAGAAGAUUUGGAACACUCUGGAGCAGUCAUAUUGAAAUAGUAGUAGGUAUGAACGUGAUACGCGUUAAGUAUAAUGAGGAAUAUGCAAAGCAUAUUUGAAUGUGGGUGGUACCACGGAUAAUUAGUUUAUUCGUCCCGGGA